rnacentral:rRNA from 1 species
UACGUAGGGUCCGAGCGUUAAUCGGAAUUACUGGGCGUAAAGCGUGCGCAGGCGGUUUUGCAAGCCAGAUGUGAAAGCCCCGGGCUCAACCUGGGAACUGCAUUUGGGACUGCAAGGCUGGAGUACGGCAGAGGGAGGUGGAAUUCCACGUGUAGCAGUGAAAUGCGUAGAGAUGUGGAGGAACACCGAUGGCGAAGGCAGCCUCCUGGGCUAGUACUGACGCUCAUGCACGAAAGCGUGGGGAGCAAACAGG